rnacentral:rRNA from 1 species
CGCGGGGGCAACCCUGGCGGCGAGCGGCGAACGGGUGAGUAAUACAUCGGAACGUGUCCAGUAGCGGGGGAUAACCUGUCGAAAGAUAGGCUAAUACCGCAUACGAUCUACGGAUGAAAGCGGGGGACCGCAAGGCCUCGCACUAUUGGAGCGGCCGAUGUCGGAUUAGCUAGUUGGCGGGGUAAAAGCCCACCAAGGCGACGAUCCGUAGCUGGUCUGAGAGGACGACCAGCCACACUGGAACUGAGACACGGUCCAGACUCCUACGGGAGGCAGCAGUGGGGAAUUUUGGACAAUGGGGGCAACCCUGAUCCAGCCAUGCCGCGUGAGUGAAGAAGGCCUUCGGGUUGUAAAGCUCUUCGGCGGGGACGAAACGGUUCGUGACAACACCACGAACUAAUGACGGUACUCGCAGAAGAAGCACCGGCUAACUACGUGCCAGCAGCCGCGGUAAUACGUAGGGUGCGAGCGUUAAUCGGAAUUACUGGGCGUAAAGCGUGCGCAGGCGGCGGCUCAAGUCAGGUGUGAAAUCCCCGGGCUUAACCUGGGAAUUGCGCUUGAAACUAGGUCGCUAGAGUGUGGCAGAGGGGGGUGGAAUUCCACGUGUAGCAGUGAAAUGCGUAGAGAUGUGGAGGAACACCGAUGGCGAAGGCAGCCCCCUGGGUCAACACUGACGCUCAGGCACGAAAGCGUGGGGAGCAAACAGGAUUAGAUACCCUGGUAGUCCACGCCCUAAACGAUGUC